GGGCCCGCACAAGCGGUGGAGUAUGUGGUUUAAUUCGAUGCAACGCGAAGAACCUUACCAGGGUUUGACAUCCUGCGAAUCUCUUGGAAACUUGAGAGUGCCUUCGGGAGCGCAGUGACAGGUGGUGCAUGGCUGUCGUCAGCUCGUGUCGUGAGAUGUUGGGUUAAGUCCCGCAACGAGCGCAACCCACGUCUUUAGUUGCCAGCAUUUAGUUGGGCACUCUAACGAAACUGCCAGUGCAAACUGUGAGGAAGGUGGGGAUGACGUCAAUCAUCACGGCCCUUACGUCCUGGGCUACACACGUGCUACAAUGGCCGGUACAGAGAGCAGCCACUUCGCAAGAAGGAGCGAA
rnacentral:rRNA from 1 species